GAAAGUAAAAAAGGGCGCAUGGCGGAUGCCUUGGCUCUCGGAGGCGAUGAAGGACGUGAUAAGCUGCGAUAAGCUUUGGGGAGGUGCAAAUGACCUUUGAUCCAGAGAUUUCCGAAUGGGACAACCCAAUAUCUUGAAGAGGUAUUAUCUUACUAUGUAAGAGGCUAACGCAGGGAACUGAAACAUCUUAGUACCUGCAGGAAAAGAAAAUAAACAAUGAUUCCCCCAGUAGUGGCGAGCGAACGGGGAACAGCCCAAACCAUCCAUGUUACGGCAUGGGUGGGGUUGUAGGACUACGCCGUUGCAUGAAGACAUCAGAGAAGAACUUUCUGGAAAGAAAGACCAUAGAGCAUGACAGUUGCGUAUUCGAAUGUUGUCGAAGCAUAGUAGUAUCCUGAGUAGCGCGGAGCACGAGGAAUUCUGCGUGAAUCUGCCGGGACCAUCCGGUAAGGCUAAAUACUCCCGAGAGACCGAUAGCGAACCAGUACCGUGAGGGAAAGGUGAAAAGCACUUCGAACAGAAGAGUGAAAUAGUUCCUGAAACCGUGCGCCUACAAGCGGUCGGAGCUCGUUAAUGAGUGACGGCGUGCCUUUUGCAUAAUGAACCUACGAGUUGCCUUUGCCGGCAAGGUUAAGUGUGACGACACACGUAUCCGAAGCGAAAGCGAGUCUGAACAGGGCGUAUAGUCGGCAGUGGCAGACGCGAAACCAAGUGAUCUACCCUUGGCCAGGUUGAAGGCUGGGUAACACCAGCUGGAGGACCGCACCAAUAAGCGUUGAAAAGCUUCUGGAUGAGCUGAGGGUAGGGGUGAAAGGCUAAUCAAACUUGGAGAUAGCUCGUACUCCCCGAAAUGCAUUUAGGUGCAGCCUUGCGGGUUACUGAUGUGAGGUAGAGCGACUGAUAAGAUGCGAGGGCUUCACCGCCUAUCAAGUCUUGACAAACUCCGAAUGCGCAUCAGUUCUACCGCAGGAGUGAGGGCAUGGGUGCUAAGGUCCGUGCCCGAGAGGAGAAGAAUCCGGACCACCUGCUAAGGUCCCGAAAUGACAGCUAAGUUAAACUAACGAAGUCUGACUGCUAAGACAGCUAGGAUGUUGGCUUGGAAGCAGCCAUUCAUUUAAAGAGUGCGUAACAGCUCACUAGUCGAGGAGUCGGGCGUGGAUAAUAAUCGGGUAUCAAGUUGUCUACCGAAGCAGUGGGAUCAUUUAUAUGAUCGGUAGGGGAGCAUUCCAGUCGGCGUCGAAGGCGUACCGUGAGGUAUUCUGGAGCGUCUGGAAAAGCAAAUGUAGGUAUAAGUAACGAUAAAGGGGGCGGGAAACCCCCUCGCCGAAAGACUAAGGUUUCCUGAUCAACGCUAAUCGGAUCAGGGUCAGUCGGGUCCUAAGGCUCAGCCGAACGGCGAUGCCGAUGGCAGAAACGGUUAAUAUUCCGUUACUACCUUCAGGAGUGACGUGGAGACGCAGUAGUGACAGUGCCGCCAUCUGACGGAAUAGAUGGUUGAAGGGUGUAGGAGUCGAUCAUGGCAGGCAAAUCCACCAUGAGAUCCGAACCUGACAGUAUGCCGCGUCCUUCGGGACAAGGCAAUAGUGCGCGUAAGCAUGCUGCCGAGAAAAUCCGCUAAACUUAAUCCUGCAGGUACCCGUACCGCAAACGGACACACGUAGUCGGGAUGAAUAUUCUAAGGCGCUUGAGUGAUUCACGGUUAAGGAACUAGGCAAACUGACCCUGUAACUUCGGGAUAAAGGGUCCCUACCCUUUUAUGGGAGGGCGCAGAGAAUCGGUCCAGGCAACUGUUUAACAAAAACACAGGGCUGUGCCAAAUCGAAAGAUCCAGUAUACAGCCUGACACCUGCCCGGUGCUGGAAGGUUAAGAGGAGAUGUCAUCGAUAAGAGAAGCGUUGAAUUGAAGCCCCAGUAAACGGCGGCCGUAACUAUAACGGUCCUAAGGUAGCGAAAUUCCUUGUCGGGUAAGUUCCGACCUGCACGAAUGGUGUAAUGAUCUGGACACUGUCUCAACCGUGAGCUCAGUGAAAUUGUAGUAUCGGUGAAGAUGCCGAUUACCCGCGAUGGGACGAAAAGACCCCGUGAACCUUUACUAUAGCUUAUCAUUGAAUCUGGGCACGUGAUGUGUAGGAUAGGUCGGAGGCUUUGAAGCAGGUACGCCAGUAUUUGUGGAGCCGCUGUUGAAAUACGACCCUUUAUUUGUUUGGAUUCUAACCCGUGGAUACGGGGACAUUGAUUGGUGGGUAGUUUGACUGGGGUGGUCGCCUCCAAAAGCGUAACGGAGGCUUCUAAAGGUGCCCUCCGGCCGAUUGGUAACCGGCCUUAGAGUGUAAUGGCAUAAGGGCGCUUGACUGGGAGACUGACAAGUCGAUCAGGUAGGAAACUAGAGCAUAGUGAUCCGGUGUUUCCGUAUGGAAGGGACAUCGCUCAAAGGAUAAAAGGUACUCCGGGGAUAACAGGCUGAUCCCUCCCA
rnacentral:rRNA from 1 species